rnacentral:rRNA from 1 species
GACGGAGGAUGCAAGUGUUAUCCGGAAUCACUGGGCGUAAAGCGUCUGUGGGUUGUUCAAUAAGUCAACUGUUAAAUCUUGAGGCUCAACUUCAAAAUCGCAGUCGAAACUGUUAAACUAGAGUAUAGUAGGGGUAAAGGGAAUUUCCAGUGGAGCGGUGAAAUGCGUAGAGAUUGGAAAGAACACCAAUGGCGAAAGCACUUUACUGGGCUAUUACUGACACUGAGAGACGAAAGCUAGGGUAGCAAAUGGG